GUGCGGUGGUUCAGUGUAAGAAUGCUCGCACUGCCAGGCCGAGUGGCCAGGGUUCGAUUCGCUGUCGACG